UACUAUGUAGUAUUUUUUUUAGUUCAGAAUUUGCAGCAAGAGAUUAUUCGAGAGGAAGAUAUUUGACUUCUUUUUUACCUUAUUCCUUUUCAAGGAACUGGCAUUAAUCAUCCCUAUGCGAAGUCAUUAUGUCAUAUGAGAUCAGGGAAAUCAUUCUAGGUACAUGUGCCUCAGGACUUGCGAUCCCGACAGAAGAUUGCCAAUAGCUACUUCAAUGCUGGUAUGCAACAUGAUCUAUGAGUAGAGCUUGGUAGGAAGCCUUUUUAAUAUCUGCGAUAGCCUUCUAAUUAUAGAUUUUGGCAAUAGUAUAUUUUCGAGAGCCGUUUUGCAAAAGGAUUAAACUAAAAUCAACCCAAGGUAGGGAUGGGUAAGUACCGGUACUAUUGUGUUAUUCUCUGCAUUUAUCAAGAUGUGAUUAGUUUCCACUGGUUAUAGGAAGAGUCUGUUACCGCAACAUAAUUGCUCUGUAUAUUUCCCAAUUCCUAACUUGGUCUUACUCAUACAGAUUUUAAAGCCUUCCCAUGCAUUUCUAUGUGAUAAAGGCACCAAAUCCUCUCUUAAUUCGAUUCGAGGCACUCAUAGCAUGGAAGACACAUUGACAGGUGCUACUGGUGUAGUACCACUUCAUCACUCAUUAUUAGAUGAAGGUGGUAUCAGGGAGUAAGUCUCAGGGUGGAUUGAUUGAUGCAGCGCGCUGGAUUGCACUAGGUAUAGCACCAUACCUCCUUCAAGCAGUCAGUCGGUUCCCAGAGUACCAAAUAAAGGUGCAAGUUUCUUACUUUUAGUUAUAGUUACAGAACUCUGUCAUGCCACGUUCUACUCAGUUUGAUUCUAUCACGAAAUAUUAUUUUACUCCUUAGAACUUUGCCUUGCAAAUAAUUUUCCGUGGUUCUGUAACAAAGGAUAGAAAGUUCGUUUUUGGUUACUAUGUUGGCAUUGGAAGACCUCUGAAGCAAAAUAUUUGAUCACACUUAUUUAAUUACCAUGCGAAUUAACUUGAAUCAGGUGAUCCAAAUCCUUUAAUCUGACCUGCACAAGAAUAACGAAGCCCAAAUCUUAAUACAUGGCUAUGUUAUUGUUUUGUUUAGAAUAGUAGGAAACAUGUGUACUGAAAUAUAUUCCUAAAGCAAGUAGUUUACAUUAAAAAUCAAGGUUUCACUAGAACCAAAGGCAGUAGAAAAAAAUCUGAAACACAAUGUUCGAGAAUAUACUCAUUUUCCUAGACCCAACCAUGCAUAGGAGAAACCUGCAUGCUACUGUUGACCAUGCGUAAAUUCCAGCUAUCUCUAGACCUUUCAAGGCGUGGCAUGGUUGAAGAUGAAAUGUGUAUGUUUUUCCUUUGUCCCUUUUCUAAAGCUGCUUGGUUUUUCUCACCUUGGUACCUUAAAAGUUAAGACUGAAUUUCUAGCUGCACAUCGCCACUAUCUACCUCAUAUGGUUACUUCAGGGCAUCCAGAGUAAUCUCACAUCCUUGUUUACUUUCUUGUUGUAUGUUUGGAAAUCUCGAAACCACACACAUUUUGGUUGGAAACUUUGCAGGCAUGCUGAAGUGUUCUCAUAUGUAAAUGUGAUUAUUCAGGGAACCAAACUUGAAGCUGCAGUCCGCAGUGAAAACCAUGGUCCAACUCGCCCUUGGGAUCAUCCAUUCGACCAAGUUGUGCAGAAUCCUCGGUCUUUUGCAGGAAAUACCAUUCUAUGUGAUGCAGUUUGGGCGAUCCAAAAGAAUUCAUCGACGAAAUAGGCUGGAAUUCAUGUCAUCAUUCAGGGCCAAAACAAUCAUCAUUUUCAGCAGCUUUCAUCUCUGAUGUCUCCACUGCUGUCUUUGCCGUUUCAGGCUGAGCCUUGUGGGCUUCUUCUUGGAAUCACGUUGGCAAACGCUCUUCAUAUGCAGGAACUUCAUUUCUACACAUAUUGCUCAGUACUUGCUUCUGCAACAGAGAGGACAAACAUUUUCUCAGCUCCAGGCCAUUGGCAGAACAGGCCUUUGCUUGCCCAGAUUCAAGCCAACCCUUCCUUCAAUCAAACGGCCAUCUCUCACUUCAACAGGAGUGCAAAUGUGAAGGCUCAUCCUCUAGCUGAAGGUUUCUCUUCAAAUUUAGUCUAUACAUGUGGCUUUUUGUUGCCUAUGUUCACAUAAUGUAUAAUGUCAUUGCGGAGACGUGCUCUUUGUUGUCAGCGUGUGCCUUUCAGGCUUCUCUUUGCGGUGAGCUACGUCCAGUCAUUAGCAUGUACACUGGAGCUGCUUCACAGAUGUUGUUUCAGAAAGCUGCUAAGAAGGUUUUUCAGGGUUCAGUUGGUGCAGCGACUCUGCAAAUUGGAGCAACCAACAUAGGGCAUGAGGGGUAUCUCAUUUCUUCAGUAGAGAAUGACUCUUCAUGUUCAGUAUUCUUUAAUUCUUGAUAUGCUACAUAAGCAAUGGUCAAUCCAUUUGCAUCG